GUUGACAUAUGAAAACAAAACCGAUUCUUUAUAUAAUGUCCCUAUUGCAAGUGCUAUUCAAGAGUUUAUGCAGGUGCCAUACAUCCUGUUCCUCAAACUGAGCUUGAACCUGAUAAUGAACACCCAUCAAUGUUGCCACCUCCUUUGAGGAGGCAACCAGGAAGGCCAAGGAAGGCUAGAAAGAGAGAUGAGAGUGAACCACCAGCAAGAGGAAGGAGGACAACAACUGUCACUUGUGCUAGGUGCUUACAAACAAGCCACAAUAAGAGAAGUUGUCAAUAUGCUGCUGUUGGGGCAAAUAUGGCUGCAAGUCAAAAGAAGAGAAAACACACUACUGCAUCAAGUGCGGGGACUUCAAGAGGGGUUAAUACUAAUCAAGUGGGAUCAAGUGGUGGACCAACUAUCUAAAGGAGCCUUUGGAAUAUCCAAUGAUCUUUUUGAGAAUGUUGUUAGUUGAUGGGAUAUAAUUUGUACAUUUUGGGAAAACAUGUAUUUUGGGGCAUUGGAUUGAGCUUUUUGUCUAUUUGGAAAUAUUGUAAAUCUGUGCACAGAUUCUUUUUUGAGAGUUUAUCAUAGAUAUUGGUACAGUGCUACAAAUAUUGGCCUUACUUGAUCAUUAAAAUGGCAGUAAUAGAUGUAUGACAUUGUAAUGAUCAAGUCUGAUUUUGUAAAGUCUCAUUUUGUAAUA